rnacentral:rRNA from 1 species
AUUGAACGCUGGCGGCAGGCCUAACACAUGCAAGUCGAGCGAGCGGCGGACGGGUGAGUAAUGUAUGGGGACUGCCCGAUAGAGGGGGAAAACUACUGGAAACGGUAGCUAAUACCGCAUACUAUCGGAUAACACAUAUGGGAUUAGCUAGUUGGUGAGGUAAUGGCUCACCAAGGCGACGAUCCCUAGCUGGUUUGAGAGGAUGAUCAGCAACCCUGUUACUUAGACACGGCACAGACGCCGACGUAGGCAGCAGUGGGGAAGAUUGGACAAUGGGUGAAAGCCUGAUGCAGCCAUGCCGCGUGUAUGAAGAAGGCCUUAGGGUUUGAAAGUACUUUCAGUCGGGAGGCGUUACCGACAGAAGAAGCACCGGCUAACUCCGUGCCAGCAGCCGCGGUAAUAC